GAUGAACGCUAGCGGGGGGCCUAACACAUGCAAGCCGAGCGGUAUUUGUUCUUCGGAACAGAGAGAGCGGCGCACGGGUGCGGAACACGUGUGCAACCUGCCUUUAUCUGGGGGAUAGCCUUUCGAAAGGAAGAUUAAUACCCCAUAAUAUAUUGAGUGGCAUCACUUGAUAUUGAAAACUCCGGUGGAUAGAGAUGGGCACGCGCAAGAUUAGAUAGUUGGUGAGGUAACGGCUCACCAAGUCAAUGAUCUUUAGGGGGCCUGAGAGGGUGAUCCCCCACACUGGUACUGAGACACGGACCAGACUCCUACGGGAGGCAGCAGUGAGGAAUAUUGGACAAUGGGUUAGCGCCUGAUCCAGCCAUCCCGCGUGAAGGACGACGGCCCUAUGGGUUGUAAACUUCUUUUGUAUAGGGAUAAACCUACUCUCGUGAGAGUAGCUGAAGGUACUAUACGAAUAAGCACCGGCUAACUCCGUG
rnacentral:rRNA from 1 species